rnacentral:rRNA from 1 species
AACGUAGGACACGAGCGUUAUCCGGAAUGAUUGGGCGUAAAGCGUCCGCAGGUGGCGAUGUAAGUCUGCUGUUAAAGAGUGAGGCUCAACCUCAUAAGAGCAGUGGAAACUACAUAGCUAGAGUACGUUCGGGGCAGAGGGAAUUCCUGGUGUAGCGGUGAAAUGCGUAGAGAUCAGGAAGAACACCAGUGGCGAAGGCGCUCUGCUAGGCCGUAACUGACACUGAGGGACGAAAGCUAGGGGAGCGAAUGGG